rnacentral:RNase_P_RNA from 1 species
ACAGAUGAUCGCGCCAGGGCAACCUGGUGAGGAAAGUCCGGGCUUCAUAGGGCAGGGUGCCGGAUAACGUCCGGUGGAGGCGACUCUAAGGCUAGUGCAACAGAAAAGAAACCGCCUGGGUUUUCCCAGGUAAGGAUGGAAUGGUGGUGUAAGAGACCACCGCUUUCCUGGUAACAGGAAAGGCCGUGUAAACCCCACUCGAAGCAAGACCAAAUGUUUGGGAGUGUUUGCUUGCAAAUACUCCCAUAGGAAGCGAUACGGCUGCCCGUCGUGCUUCUAGGUAGGUCGCGUUUUGCCAGUAAAAGGCAAAGGAGCUGUAUGGCGACAUACAGUCAAGAUAGAUGAUCAUCCAAUACAGAACCCGGCUUAUAGUACUACUCA